rnacentral:rRNA from 1 species
AUUGAACGCUGGCGGCGUGCCUAAUACAUGCAAGUCGAACGCAGUGGGGACGGGUGAGUAACACGUGGGUAACCUCCCCAUCAGAGGGGAUAACACUUGGAAACAGGUGCUAAACCGAUACUGCUGGAUUGACCAGCGGUGCAUUAGCUAGUUGGUGAGGUAACGGCUAACCAAGGCCCCGAUGCAUAGGCGACCUGAGAGGUGGCUCGGCCACACUGGGACUGAGACACGGCCCAGACUCGUACGGGAGCCAGCAGUAGGGAAUCUUCGGCAAUGGACGAAAGUCUGACCGAGCAACGCCGCGUGAGUGAAGAAGGUUUUCGGAUCGUAAAACUCUGUUGUUAGAGAAGCGGUAUCUAGCCAGAAAGCCACGGCUAACUACGUGCCAGCAGCCGCGGUAAUUC